AGAGCGAACGCUGGCGGCAGGCUUAACACAUGCAAGUCGAGCGGGCGUAGCAAUACGUCAGCGGCAGACGGGUGAGUAACGCGUGGGAACAUACCUUUUGGUUCGGAACAACCCAGGGAAACUUGGGCUAAUACCGGAUAAGCCCUUACGGGGAAAGAUUUAUCGCCGAAAGAUUGGCCCGCGUCUGAUUAGCUAGUUGGUGAGGUAACGGCUCACCAAGGCGACGAUCAGUAGCUGGUCUGAGAGGAUGAUCAGCCACAUUGGGACUGAGACACGGCCCAAACUCCUACGGGAGGCAGCAGUGGGGAAUAUUGGACAAUGGGCGCAAGCCUGAUCCAGCCAUGCCGCGUGAGUGAUGAAGGCCCUAGGGUUGUAAAGCUCUUUCGCACGCGAGGAUGAUGACGCUAGCGUGAGAAGAAGCCCCGGCUAACUUCGCGCCAGCAGCCGC
rnacentral:rRNA from 1 species